rnacentral:rRNA from 1 species
AUUGAACGCUGGCGGUAUGCUUAACACAUGCAAGCCGAACGGAAACGAUACUAGCUUGCUAGUAGGCGUCGAGUGGCGGACGGGUGAGUAACGCGUAGGAAUCUGCCUGAUAGUGGGGGAUAGCCCGGAGAAAUUCGGAUUAAUACCGCAUAAUCUAUUCGUAGUAAAGUGGGGGACUUUCGAGCCUCACGCUAUCAGAUGAGCCUGCGUAAGAUUAGCUUGUUGGUAGGGUAAAAGCCUACCAAGGCGACGAUCUUUAGCUGGUCUGAGAGGAUGAUCAGCCACAUCGGGACUGAGACACGGCCCGAACUCCUACGGGAGGCAGCAGUGGGGAAUAUUGGACAAUGGGGGCAACCCUGAUCCAGCAAUACCGCGUGUGUGAAGAAGGCCUGAGGGUUGUAAAGCACUUUCAAUUGUGAAGAAAAGUUAACGGUUAAUAACCGUUAGCCUUGACGUUAACUUUAGAAGAAGCACCGGCUAACUCCGUG